rnacentral:rRNA from 1 species
AGAGUUUGAUCCUGGCUCAGGAUGAACGCUAGCUACAGGCUUAACACAUGCAAGUCGAGGGGCAGCAUGUUGGUUGCUUGCAACCAACGAUGGCGACCGGCGCACGGGUGAGUAACGCGUAUCCAACCUACCCUUGUCCAUCGGAUAACUCGUCGAAAGGCGGCCUAACACGAUAUGCGGUUCACAGCAGGCAUCUAACGUGAACGAAAUGUGAAGGAGAAGGAUGGGGAUGCGUCUGAUUAGCUUGUUGGCGGGUAACGGCCACCAAGGCUACGAUCAGUAGGGGUUCUGAGAGGAAGGUCCCCCANAUUGGAACUGAGACACGGUCCAAACUCCUACGGGAGGCA